rnacentral:rRNA from 1 species
UACAGAGGGUGCGAGCGUUGUUCGGAAUUACUGGGCGUAAAGCGCGCGCAGGCGGAUCCUGCAAGUCCGGAGUGAAAUCUCACCGCUCAACGGUGAGGCUGCUUUGGAUACUGCGGAUCUGGAGACCGGUAGAGGCUGGUAGAAUUGCAGGUGUAGCGGUGGAAUGCGUAGAUAUCUGGAGGAACACCGGUGGCGAAGGCGGCAUCCUGGACCAACAUUGACGCUGAGGAGCGAAAGCUAGGGGAGCAAACGGG